rnacentral:misc_RNA from 1 species
GUUUUUUUUUUUUUUUUUUUCGUUGUAUUGGAGGAGUCUUAAUUUGGAACUGUAUAGGAUUUUUAUCAAACUGUGAUAUGUUAGUUUGAGUGGUGUGGCUGUGUAUCACUGUGCUUUCUUAUUGUUUGGUUCUCUGAAGUUCAUCUCACAAUUUUUUUUUUGUCUACGUGUUAGAAUUGUUAUUUUGAUCUUUGUUGUUAAUUUCGGUUAUUUGCCAAUCAUGACUUGUUUCUUAAAUAUUACUGUUGUUGGGACGUGGCCAGUCAAUGGUUAGCCUAUCAUGUAAGAUCUUGCGUAACUCUGUGCCCACGCG